AACCUAGAGGUUGAAAACAGAAAGAAUUUAACGGUCAGAUAGCUUUUUGCUACUUCUUCAAAAGUUUUGAAAAUGUUAAAAUAUACAAUCAUGAAGCAACCAAUUAAAAUAAUAGAAAUGUUAAAAUCAAGAGAUUCCAACACUACUCUCAAACUAAGCAGUCAUUUCAGAAAGGCCUAAAUGAAGAGAUGAGUCUUUAAAAGUCACCUAAAAUACAUCAUAGUUCAUGUCCCCUAAUUGCCAGUGAGGAAGGGUAUCCCAAAAGGAAAGAGUGACCCAGAUAUAUGUAGUUGGGAAUGGGGUUUUAGACAGGGAAGGAAGAAGGAAAUUAAAUCAGAAAGUACUGACAAUAAGAAUUACAUUACUAACACUGGACAUUCACAAAACUCUUGCUGUUAAGCUGAUACCCUAAUACUAAUAAUAAUCUAUGGUCCUGACUCACUUAUAGGUGUUAUUGUUUUUGAAAAUCUUUAAAUUCUAUUUUAAUUAUUUUUCUCCUAUUGGUUAAAAAUGAAAUUUUAUUGCAAGAUUUCACAUAGCAUCGACUUUUUGUAUGUUUUAAUUGCAAUCUUUUUAACAUGUACAUUUCUUCAAGUCCUAGGCUUGGGGAAAAGGCAGGAUAUAAAGCAAGAUAUUAAGAAUAUGAACUAUGAUAACUGUUGUACAUCACUUCAGAGGCCCUGGCAGGUUGAAAGAAAAAUGUAGCAGCUCUUCUGGAUCAGAGGAAAAGCCUACCUAGUUCAGCAUCACCUUUUCUGCAGCACCAACCCAAUGCCCAAGGGAAUGCCACAAAUGGAUAGAAGAGCAACAAGCCUCUAGUUUCUGCUCCCCGGAGCCAUGGUGGUGGGUUGCACUGGAGGUGGGUUGAGGGGUAAUUGUAUUGUGGGUGGUGGGUUGUCUAUUUAUGUGUAUGUGUAUAUGUUUGUAAUAUGUAUUGUGGGUGUAUUACAAUUUUAAAAUAAAAAAACUAUUUAAUUUAAAAAAGAAUAAUAAUUUCUGCUCCCUAGCAACUUGCACUCAGAAAUAUAACACCUUUCAUACUACCUACAGGGCACAACUGUAACAGUGACUGAUAACCACUGAUAGCCUUGAAUUUGACCAAUCCCCUUGAAUUUGACCAAUUGUUUGUAGGAAACAUAAUGCAUGGGGACUGCAAACACAACUUGUAGUCAGAGAAUAUGGCUAAACCAUAACACUACACUAGAGCAAUCUGCCCUGAAUAAGGUUAUAAGUCUUUUCACCUGAAAAUGCUGAUACUGAUGGUGGUGUUGUCGUUGUUGUUACUGUUAUUAUCAGAUAUUUCCAUCAUUACUGGAAGACAUUUGCUCUAGUGCUAAGGGUAAAGAAGCACUAUAUAAAGGAAAAUCUGUUUUCAAAAAGCAUUUUUUGGACUAUAGGGAAAUGAUAUAGCAGGAAUGGGUUAUCAUUACAAUAACUUUAACAAUGGGGUAAAUUUGAAUAUAAUAUAUUUUAUAAAUGUAACUAUUUACAUUGUUCAUUUAUUUAUGAUAAUAAACACUGACUGUAUAUUUUACAUAUAUUUUAAGAAAGAGUGUGCAAAAUGUGGCCUGGAAACCACAUGUGACAGACCCCGGGGAGAGUUUUGUGGCCCCCAAUGGUCAAAGGUACUUUUUUGUAAAUAACUUUUUUUUUUACCCAGAAUGUCCCCAAAUGAACUCUAGAGAGUGUUGAUGGCAUUUGAUCAUAUCAAGGAAUCAACAAAUUUCGCAAAUUUUGGGGGGAGGAAAAUAGUCCAGAAAUGCUCUAAAAUACCCACUAGGGGGCAUGAAGUGCAUUUCCAUAAUAUUUUGAGGGGGCCCUUUUUUGAAACCAAAAGUCCCCCAUAUCCUCUAGAGAGGUGAAGUGUUUAGAGGCAACAACAAUGAUUUUUUGCAGCUGGUUCAGCCCUCCAAAGUCUCCAGCCCCCUACUCUUCACCCGUUUUAAAAGUUGCAAAACCGCUCAGAGAAUUAAGGUGUUGGUAGAUAGGUGCUCACCAUUGCUAUGAUUAUAUAUUAAGCAUUAAUUUCUCUUUCUCAGAAAUAGAUUUUUUUCUCUGUUUCAACAGGAAUUCUUUCUGUGUUCCAACCUCCACAAAGCUGUUUGCUAUCAAUACUCGUCCCAUGACGUAACUCUGGAGUAGUCAUUUUCUGAUUUUACAAAAAGGAAAUACUGGGGACAGACUUAAUUAACGUUUAACCAACACCCAAGCGAUAAUCAACAAACCUUCUUGGAUCCAAGCCUAUUCCAGCCUGAUAAAAAGCACAGCUAAGAGACAAUCUGGUUUUGUGAAAAGAAUGAAUGAGAGGGUGAGUGGAAAGUACCAGUGUUGUUGCUGUUGUUGCGUGUCUUCAAGUCAUUUCUAACUUAUGGUGAUUGGAAGAUGAACCUAUUAUGGAGUUGCCUGUAACUGAAUAUGUUACCCGCCUAAGGUCACCCUUUGGGUUUUCAUGGCCAAGCAGGGAAUUGGACCUUAGUCUUCAGAGUUAUAGUUCAACACUCAAAUACUACACCAUGCUGGUUCCUCUCUCCAUAAACUCAUCCAUCUCUUCAUCUCUUUUGUCUGAACUGCAUCAAUAUACAAAUUGGAGAUUAGCUGAAAAAGAGCAGCUUUUUGAAAGAAGGGGAAAGUAUUAUAAACGAAAAGGUACUGUAGUUUAGCACUCCCCAAAUAUCCACAUGCCCCCUUUGCUUUCAGUUAGCAGAACUCAUACAUCUCUUAACAUUUUAUUGUAUGCUUGUGAGAAGCCCGUUUGUGGAACUCAUUGCCCAUUGAAAUCAGGCAAGCCCCCACUCUGUUAGCCUUUAGGAAAGAUUUAAAAACAUGGCUCUUCCGAUGUGCUUUCGGAGAGUAACUGUUACACGCUUUUUGUUACUCCCCCCAUCAUUUAUCCCCUAGACUGUUUGCUAUCUUAUGUCCCUGUUCCCCGUGGUUUUAUUUUUAUCCUUUUCUCACCCCGAGUUUUAACUGAGUGUUCAUGCGGCCCGCCCUGUUAUAUUGCUUUUUUGAUUUUGUGUUGUACUGUACACGAUCAUUUAUUGUAUUGUUGUAAUUGUAUUAUGAUAUGUUGUUUUUAUAUUUUGCUAUAUUGUAUUGUCCCGGGCAUGGCCCCAUGUAAGCCGCCCCGAGUCCCCGUUGGGGAGAUGGUGGCGGGGUAUAAAUAAAGUUUUUAUUAUUAUUAUUA